GUCAAGAGCUGUGAGAAGUUGUGCUGUUGGAGAGAUUGAGCUGUAUACACCAUACUAGGUACAAGGAAGGAGGCCCUGAGGUGGGCUGUGAUCCCUACCAUGUCAUAGGCUGCCAGAUCUGGGAGAGGAAGAAGAGAGAAGGAAAGAAACACGUGUGACAGAUGGUAUUCAUACUGAUGAAUUCACCACCAGAACAGCCUCCAAUACCACAGUGAUAGGAGCAGUAGAAGAACUGAACAGAAUAAAAUGGAGCCCAGUCAAGGACCAAGACUCUGUUGUAAGCAGCACAAAGCUAGAACAAACUCUGGGAGGAAGGUCCUGAGAAAGAAACAGAGAUUUUGGGGCUGAGUGCUGGCUGAAAGAGGUUUGGGACUGUGAGCAAAGAAACAGCUUCCCGUUCUAUGAUUCCUGCUGUGUUCCAUGAAAAAAGGAUUUUGUACAUUUUUUGAAAAUAAAAGGAUUGCAUCAAAGAAAUACCUGAUUCCAACAUCAAUUUCUCCU